AAAAAAGCAGGGGCCGUUGCCCAUGUGAACAGGCCUCUCGUAAACUUCAGGGAAAUCAUUUACAUUGUUAUUGGGUGAACCUGUGUAUAUACUUCUGGUGACAAAAGGUUCAGUAAAUGAUGUUACAUUG
rnacentral:snoRNA from 1 species